CGCUCGGGUCCCCUUCCACACUGUGGAAGCUUUGUUCUUUCACUCUUUGCAAUAAAUCUUGCUGCUGCUUACUCUUUGGGUCCACACGCUUUUAUGAGCUGUAACACUCACCGCGAAGGUCUGCAGCUUCACUCCUGAGCCCAGCGAGACCACGAGCCCACCGGGAGGAACGAACAACUCCAGACGCGCUGCCUUAAGAGCUGUAACACUCACCGUGAAGGUCUGCAGCUUCACUCCUGAGCCAGCGAGACCAGGAACCCACCAGAAGGAAGGAACUCCGAACAUAUCCGAACAUCAGAAGGAACAAACUCCAGAUGCACCACCUUAAGAGCUGUAACACUCACCACGAGGGUCCGCGGCUUCAUUCUUGAAGUCAGCGAGACCAAGAACCCACCAAUUCCAGACACAAUGCCUCUCUGAUACUCUUUUCAUUUUAAAAUCCUCUUUUCUCCAUGUUUCACUUUCAAUAAUUUUUAUUGCUGUCUUUUUCACUAGUAUUUUCUUCUGCAAUGUCUAAACUAUUCUUAAUCCCAUCCAGUGUAUUUUUUUUUUUCUUUUUGAGACAGAGUUUUGCUCUGUCAGCCAGGCUGGAGUGCAGUAGCACAGUCUUGGCUCACUGCAACCUCCGUUUCCCAGGCUCAAGCAAUUCUCCUGCAUCAGCCUUCCCAGUAGCUGGGAUUACAGGCAUGUGCCACCAUGCCCAGCUAAUUUUUGUAUUUUUAGUAGAGACGGGGUUUCACCAUGUUGGCCAGGAUGGUCUCGAACUCCUGACCUCAGUUAACCUACCUGCCUCGGCCUCCCAAAGUUUUGGGAUUACAGGCUUGAGCCACCGCACCUGGCCAUAUUUUUCAUCUCAUUGAUGGUAAUUUUCAUCUGUAGAAAUUAUAUUUGGGUCUUUUUUCAUCUCUUUCGUGUUUCUACUUAACAUUAAAAAUAUGGAAUACAGCUAUAACAACUGUUUUAACAUCCUUGUUGGCUAAUUCUAACAUUUCUGUCAGGUCUAAGUCAGUUUGGAUUGGUUUUUAUGUUUUUCUUCUAUGGGUUGUGUUUUCCUGCUUUGCAUGUCUUGUAGUCUUUCAUUAGAUGGCAGGCACUGUGAAUUUUACCCUAUUCAGUGCUGGAUAAUUUUGUAUUCCCAUAAAUAUUGUUGAGCUUUGCUCCAGGAUGCAGUUAGGUUACUUGGAAACAAUUUGAUACUAUUUGGUCUUUAAGAUUUAUUAGGUUGGACCAGAGCAGUGUUUACUCUAGGACUAAUUAUUCUCCACUACUGAAACUAGACCCUUCUGAGUACUUUACCCAAUGCCCUGUGAAUUAUAUUCUUCUAGUCUGGUUUGUGAGAAUAGGCACUAUUCCAAGCACUAUGUGUGUUCUAAUUUUUUUAGGGUAUUUCCCCUCAGCCUUGGGUAUUUUCUUCACAUGUAUGCACUUUUCAAUACUCUGCUUAAUACCUGAGGGGGACUCUCUACAGUAAUCUCUGAGGUUGUCUCUCCAUGGACUGCUCUCCUCUUUGUUCUGUAAACUGUAGCUGCCUUGGUCUCCCUAAACUCUCAGCUCCAAAACUUCCACUCAGGAAGUUCACUGGAGUCUACCUGGGAUCCCCCUCUGAUAUAGUUUGGAUGUCUGUCCCUUCCAAAUCUCAUGUUGAACUGUAAUCCCCAAUGUUGGAGGUGGGGCCUAGUGGGAGGUGUUUGGACCAUGAGGGCAGAUUCCUCAUGAAUGUCUUGGUGUCAUCCUCACAGUAAUGAGUUAUCUGAGUUCACACAAGAUCUGAUUGUUUAAGAGUCUGGAACUUCCUCCUUGCUCUCUCACUCUCUCCUGACAUGUGACACGCUGGCUCCCCUUCACCUUCUGUCAUGAUUGGAAGCUUCUUGAGGCCCUUACCAGAAGCAGAGGGCAGCACUAUGCUUCGUGUACAGCCUGCAGAACCAUGAGUCAAAUAAACUUCUUUUCUUCAUAAAUUAACCAGGCUAGGUAUUCCUUUAUAGCAAUGCAAAUGGACACCCUCCCUGUGCUGUGUCCUGAAAUCCCUUUCAAGACUGGAAGUUGGAGCAAUUGCAGGGCUCACCUCAUUUAUACCUCUUCUCUUAGGGUCACUGUCCUUCAUUGCCUGAUGUCCAGUGUCUUCAAAGCUAUAGCUUUAUAGGUUUUUUCAUCUUUUUGUUUUUAUUUCAGUUGCAAAGGCAAAUCUGGUGCCUGUUACUCCAUCAUGGCUAGAACUAAUUACUUUUCUUUUUUUUUUGAGAUGGAGUCUCGCUCUGUUGCCCAGGCUGGAGUGCAGUGGUGCAAUCUUGGCUCUCUGCAACCUCCGCCUCCCGGGUUCAAGAGAUCCUCCUGCUUCAGCCUCCCAAGUAGCUGGGACUACAGGCAUGCACCAUCAUACCUAGCUAAUUUUUGUAUUUUUAGUAGAGACGGGGUUUCACUAUGUUGGCCAGGCUGGUCUUAAACUCCUGACCUCAGGUGAUCCUCCCAACUUGGCCUCCUAAAGUGCUGGGAUUACAGGCAUGAGCCACUGCGGCCGCCUUUUUUUUUUUUUUUUUUUUUUAAAGACAGUGUCUUGCUCUGUCACCCAGGCUGCAGUGCAGUGGCUUGAUUUUGGCUAACUGCAAACUCUGCCUCUUGGGCUCAAGUGAUCCUCCCAUAGUGCUGGGAUUACAGGCAUGAGCUACCACAACCGACCUAGAACUAAUUACUUUUAAAGAAGUUUAAAUAGUAAGAAAAGCCUCUCCUAUUUUCUGACAUAGUUGCAUUUUUAGUGCUCUUCAUUCUGUUGUUUGGAUCCAUAUGUCCACAGGGUAUCAUUCUGUUUCUCUUCAAAGAAAGUCCUUUUAACAUUUCUUGUAGUGGAGGUCUGCUGGUGAUGAAUUCUUUUAGCUUUCAUAUGCCUGAAAAAGUAUUUUGCCUUUGUUUUUGAAAUACGCUUUCAUUUAUCUUCCCAGAAAACAAUCCAUCACGAUAACAAAAAAUAGAAACACAAAACCCAUCUUUGAUGAUUCCAAAGAUCUGUUUAUCCUUGGACCACAACAUUUGAAAAUGGAAAGCAAAUGGUGAAAUAACAUAAAUGAUGACAAUAGUAGACAUAUAUGUUUACUAUAUCAGGAACCAGUAUCUAUCAGGGGCUCAGCAGCAUACUCAAAUAUCACAUAUUCAAAUUAGGAGGUUUUAAUAAAGGGACAGUACACAAAGUUUGGGCAGUGUGUAGGGACAAUACAAUAUCCUGGGGCUAGUGACAGUGGGGUUGUUACCAUACUAGGCUAGAAGGGUUACAGGAAUUCAGAGAGGACUCCUUGAGAGAAGCUGUGACCUCACGAUAAGAGAUGCAACCAGCCCAAGGAAAUCCUCCAGGUGGGAGCUGGAGGAAUGAAUACUCUAAACUCACUCUUCUCCCUCUCACUGAUAUAAUGACAGGAUUUUCACUGGGCCAAACCAAACCAGAAACGUCAGGCAGGAGAGCCCAUGAUGAAGUACACACAGAAGAGUGAAUCAGGGUGCAUAGUGGAUUUGGAGAAGUAAACAAAAAUACGGGGCAUAGCCCCAUUCUAAGGUUUUUUUUUUUUUUUUUUUUGAGACGGAGUCUCGCUCUGUCGCCAGGCCGGAGUGCAGUGGUGUGAUCUCGGCUCACUGCAACCUCCACCUCCCAGGUUCAAGCAAUUCUCCUGCCUCAGCCUCCUGAGUAGCUGGGACUAUGGGCACGCCACCACACCCAGCUAAUUUUUUGUAUUUUAAGUAGAAAUGGAGUCUCACCAUGUCAGCCAGGAUGGUCUCGAUCUCUUGACUUCGUGAUCCGCCCGCCUCAGCCUCCCAAAGUGCUGGGAUUACAGGUGGGAUUACAGGCAUGAGCCACCAUGCCUGGCCCAUUCUAAGUACUUUGGAUGUAUUACUACAUUGAAUCCUCCCCCAAAUCCUAUUAAUUACCAUUAUUAUUCCCAGAUAAACAAUGAAAGAUGAAGGAAAAUUCAACUGAACUGUGACAUCUUCUGAGAGUUCAGAGAAGACACUGCCUUCAUUAAAUAAAAAUAAGGGUGCUUUAAGUAUAGAAAGAAUGAUAGAAAAACUUAUAGUAGAAAAAAAAACUGAUGGCAACCCUCUCCUCAAAUUAAUAGAAGGAUCUGAAGACAAAGGUGAGGAAAUCUCCUUGAGAGUUGAACAAAAUAUAAAUAAAUAAAAAGUAAGAAUAAAGAGAUUAAGACUAUUUGAAAAUCAAUCCAGAAGUUAAGGCAUAAAAUCCAGAAGGUUCAUCUCUCUUUCUGGAAUUCCUGAAAGAGAAAAUAGAAAAUUGUGGGAAUGAAAAUAUGUAAGAAAAAAAAAUACAAGAAAAAAUUCCAAAUUAUCUGGAUUGAAAAGUCUCUCCAGGUAUAUAGUACAACGAAUGAAAAAGACCCAGGCCAAGGCCACACUUUUGAGAAAUUUCACAUGUACGGUUUAUUUUUUUUUAUUUUUUGAGACAGAGUCUCACUGUGUUACCCAGGCUGGAAUGCAGUGGUGCAAUCUGUGCUCACUGCAACCUCCACCUCCCAAGUUCAAGUGAUUCUCGUGCCUCAGCCUCCUGAGUAUCUGGGAUUACAGGCGCCUGCCACCAUGCCCAGCUAAUUUUUCAUAUUUUUAAUAGAGACGGGGUUUCACCAUGUUGGCCAGACUGAUCUUCAACUCCUGGUCUCAAGUGAUCUGCCCUCUUCGGCCUCCCAAAGUGCUGGGAUUACAGGCAUAAGGCACCAUGCCUGGGCAACAUGUACAAAUUUAAAAGUGAUUAUUAAAUAACAAUGAAAACUACUAGCUCUUAGUAUCUUUUUAAAAAGUGAUUUCACAUACAGUCUCACAUUUAAAUGGGCUUGAAGGGUCCAGUGUCCCUGGCAACAGAGAAUAAAACACUUGUAGGAUGUCAUUUUCAAACCUUUCACAGAUGAGAGAGCACAGUUCAUUAAUACCUAGGUAUGUUUGCAUGUGGACAAGCUUUGGAAUGCAUGUCCAGUUUCCUAGGCUAAGUGAUUAGCUCUUAAAGAUACAGUGCAUGACUUCUAAUUCCUUGCUAUUCCCUCACGUCAACUGAAAACUGCUUUGACUAGGUAGGUCUGUGCAGCUGACUGAUAUAUGAACCAAGCCUGGAGAAAGGAGAUAUGAUGUCAUGAGCAUUUUUUUUUCCAACUUGUUUCCCUCAAUACCCUUCAGGUACAGUGAAUACGGUCACCUUUUCUCACUGUGUGCUCAUGCGGACAAGGUUUUAAAUUUUGAUGAUUGUCAGAUUUUUACUGGUAGGUUUGGGCUUGGGUAACCCUCUUCCCUUCCAAUAGUGUAGUUCUAGAAUUCUGUCAAUAAACAAGCUAGUGUGAAUUAAUUGAAUCAGCUGCAUCAAUAAGGGGGGGUAUUCAGUGUCUUCUCUCCUCAAUGCCAAGGGGAACCAGGUGAGUGAAACUGAUUGGCCAGACAGUUUCUUUGCCAAAUCUUUGAGAGUCCUCAGGCUUUGGGAGAAUUAGUAAAAAACGGACAUGGACAGAAUGUAAAUGGAAAGUUGAACAGGCUCUUCACCAAGAUGGUGGGUUGCAGUUUCCUGCAGCCACACAGUCUUUGUUGAAACAGGGCUGUGGUUAUGAAGAGUUGUGCAUUCUUAGCUGCCGCAGACUGUGCUGGGAAUGGAAACUAAAGCAGUCAGUGGCGGUGACCACAACCCAGAAGCUGAAACCAUGCUCUAAUUUUACAGAAAAUUGCUAGUUCUGGCUCUGUUCAUUGCUUAUGAGUUUUCAUUUAGACUGCAAGGAUUACAUCUAGUUGUAUGUGAAAUAACAUCUUGAAAAUUGACUGAAGAAAAACCAUUUAGCCCUCACUCAUUUGUACUAACCCACAAAAUGUCAGUACAAACAUCUUCUAAUAUACUGUAAGAUACAUCCUUUAGCAUUGACAGUCAGUACAAUUAUAGGAGUGAAAAACAGAGGGAAUAGCCAAAGCAGCAGUGAGAAAAGAGGACGGACAAAAAAGAUGAGGAGGAGGAGGAAGAAAAAAAUUAGGAGAAGCGACUUUGCAUUUGGGAAAAAAUUUGGACUUAUAUUUAUUUAUGUGAAUAUCUUGCCAAAUUUGGGAAUUAACAGUAUGUUAAAGAAAAUGGUGAGAGCUGGCCGGGCGUGGUGGCUCAGGCCUGUAAUCCCAGCACUUU
rnacentral:lncRNA from 10 species